AUUGAACGCUGGCGGCAGGCUUAACACAUGCAAGUCGAGCGGGGAGAUGUAGCUUGCUACAUAUCCUAGCGGCGGACGGGUGAGUAAUGCUUAGGAAUCUGCCUAUUAGUGGGGGACAACGUUCCGAAAGGAACGCUAAUACCGCAUACGCCCUACGGGGGAAAGCAGGGGAUCUUCGGACCUUGCGCUAAUAGAUGAGCCUAAGUCGGAUUAGCUAGUUGGUGGGGUAAAGGCCUACCAAGGCGACGAUCUGUAGCGGGUCUGAGAGGAUGAUCCGCCACACUGGGAAUGGAACACGGCCCAGACUCCUACGGGAGGCAGCAGUGGGGAAUAUUGGACAAUGGGCGCAAGCCUGAUCCAGGCAUGCCGCGUGUGUGAAGAAGGCCUUUUGGUUGUAAAGCACUUUAAGCGAGGAGGAGGCUCCUUUAGUUAAUACCUAAAGAGAGUGGACGUUACUCGCAGAAUAAGCACCGGCUAACUCUGUGCCAGCCGCCGCAGUAAAAC
rnacentral:rRNA from 1 species